CCUAUAUUCUUCAGUACACGUUCCAAGUACAGCUCAAAGCGAUCCAGCCCCCAGUCCCCCUCCCCCCCCCGCGCGCUCUGUCAGCGCCAGCCAAUCAGAGCGCACCUUCCCCCUCCGCGAGACGAAGGGAGCCGAACCCCUUCGUUCGUUUCCGCCACCGGAGCCCCGACGGCUGAUAUCGGGGCCGAGCCUCUUCGGCAGCUUCCGGAAACCCGGAAGGGAAACAGCCGAGCGCCUUCGGUUACCUCCGGCGCGGUGGGUUGUCGAAAGAGGGGCCGAGUGCACGGCGCAGUCCUCAGCCGCCGCCUCCUGGAGGCGCGGAUGCAGAGGGAGGCUGGGCCGGAGCUGGCGGCGCGGAUCCAGCGGCUGCGUGACAAGGAACGGGAGCUGCGAGACACACGGGAGCUGGCACUACAAGAUGAGAGUGAAGAUCUGCGGAAACUUGCGGAAGGGGAAAUUGUUUCCUGUGAAGAAGAGAUAGCUGAACUGAAACACCAGGUUAGAUUACCUCUGAAAGCUUGUUAUUUCCUUGCCAUUCCUAAGUUAACAAAGCCAACUUGUCCUCUCAUUAAAUAA
rnacentral:lncRNA from 1 species